AAUAGAUAAUAAACAGCAAAAAAUUGGACAUAACCCGAAAGUGGUUCAUGCCAAAAAAAAAAAGAGGCCCGUCUUUUUGUCCUAAGUUUUCAAUCUUGGCUUUGUCGGAUUGCAAUCUGGUUUUUCAAUUCCUGCAGAUUCAGCUAGCUUUGAUAAAUAAUAGCAUUCUUCACGGAACAUAUGGUCUGCCAUUAGAGGAGCAAAAGUACCAAGAGCUUGGGUGCCAAGCUCAAGCUCUUCGAGUUCCAUAAGAAAAUUCAUAAACAGCCGUAUUUCGAGUGAAGCUUCUUUGUUGAAUCUCUCAAGGGCUGGAAAUGAAGUAAGAUUUGUCCGCAAAAAACCUGUCAUUUCAACAGCCUUUAGAUAAAAUUCUUCAAAGUGUUUCGUAUAUUCUUUACUUUUCUUUUUCAAUCGUUUUUCUACUUGAUCCAUAUUAUCAUCUAUUGCACCUGCAUGGCCCGCUGCGUCGAGAAGCCAAAUUAAAUGAUGAUGAAGUUCGUGAAAAAUAGGAGGAACUUCCCUUUUUUUCAGAUAUGCUAAAAUUCUUGCGUAUUCGUCCAGCUCGUUCACCAUAUGAUUAAUAAAAGUUGGCGAAAGGUGGAUAUCAAUUUUUCCCUGUAAAUGCCUCCGGAUCAAAUCAAGUUUAAAUUCUCUAAAUUUCUUUACUUCUUCCUGUGCUCUUUUGCUUAAGUGAAUUAAGUCAGUUGUUUCCACUCCUUCCAACAAGCGGUCAAAUGUAUUUUUAAAAUAUUCUGCCGCUUCGAUUGCAGCUUUUUCAUUCGAGGCAAGUGAAUCAAGUAUAAACCGCGCAUGAUCUCCUAAAACUUGCAGCCAAAAACCAUGUUCGUACUUUGCCGUCUGCUCAUAGCUGGAAACCACGUAAUCUCUCC
rnacentral:antisense_RNA from 1 species